rnacentral:rRNA from 1 species
UACGUAGGGUGCGAGCGUUGCCCGGAUUUAUUGGGCGUAAAGGGCGCGCAGGCGGCCACGCGCGUCCGUUGUGAAAUCGCUCGGCUCAACUGGGCGAGGUCAGCGGAUACGGCGUGGCUGGAGCAAGCUAGGGGGCAAUGGAAUUCCCGGUGUAGUGGUGGAAUGCGUAGAUAUCGGGAUGAACACCAGUGGCGAAGGCGGUUGCCUGGAGCUUUGCUGACGCUGAGGCGCGAAAGCGUGGGGAGCGAUCCGG